rnacentral:rRNA from 1 species
UACGGAGGGUGCAAGCGUUAAUCGGAAUUACUGGGCGUAAAGCGCACGCAGGCGGUCUGUCAAGUCGGAUGUGAAAUCCCCGGGCUCAACCUGGGAACUGCAUUCGAAACUGGCAGGCUGGAGUCUUGUAGAGGGGGGUAGAAUUCCAGGUGUAGCGGUGAAAUGCGUAGAGAUCUGGAGGAAUACCGGUGGCGAAGGCGGCCCCCUGGACAAAGACUGACGCUCAGGUGCGAAAGCGUGGGGAGCAAACAGGAUUAGAUACCCUGGUAGUCCACGCUGUAAACGAUGUCGACUUGGAGGUUGUUCCCUUGAGGAGUGG